GCUAAAGUCACCACAGACGAGCUUUUCCCGACGAAAUCUUAGCCGACGAAAGGUCGUCGGCUAAGAUCUUAGCCGACGAAUUAAGCUGACAGGCCGACGAAAAAUUUUCGUCGGCUAAAGUGCUUGUCCUGGUAGUGACGUUGUUCUUAAGCCGUAGACGCCUCCCCACGUGUGGGUUAUGAUGGUCGUCUACAAACUCCAAGAUACAACCCGUGUAGUCACAUAUAAUGUCUAAUCCGCUUUGCACGACAAAUGGUACACGGGGUGUCAAAUGUUUAUUGAAUUGCCCAAACGAUAAGAAAUAAGAAUAGAAUGAAGAAGAUGAAGAUGAAGAGUAUGAGAGCAAUAUAUAAUACCAUUACUCUUUGACUUAAGAGUAGAGUAUUUAUAGAACUCAUCAUAACGUACCCUUAUAAAGACAAAACUCUUCAAUUUGAAUAAAUAAUAUUUAAAAUGAAAAUAUGAGUUUUGAAUCUUAUUUUUAAUUUAAAAACCAACAAUCCCCUACAAGAUUCAAAACUUCAUAGACUCAAAAAAUUUGGAAAGAUUAAGAUAAGAAUAUUUGGGCAACUUUAAUACCAUGUAAUAGGUAUAGGUGUUUUCCGGACUUGAACCUACACUUGGUGUAAACAACUUUCAUUCGAAGGAAUCAUAGUAAACUAUGUCUUGAACUAGACGCUUUUUAGCCGAAUUACUAAUUGUCACGCACACGAUACCGAUACGAAAACUUUGACGUGGGUAGUGUUAUUUAUAGCCUUGC
rnacentral:lncRNA from 1 species